rnacentral:rRNA from 1 species
UAUGUCUUUUAUGACAAAUGUGAGAUGCAGUGUAUGGAGUGUCAAAUUUCUAGUAUGAGCAAUUAACGAUUUAAGUCCUUCUUAAAUGAGGCCAUUUACCUAUAGAGGGUGCCAGGCCCGUAUAACGUUAAUGAUUACUAGAUGACAUUUCCAAAGAGUCGUGUUGCUUGAUAGUGCAGCACUAAGUGGGUGGUAAACUCCAUCUAAAACUAAAUAUAACCAUGAGACCGAUAGUAAACAAGUACCGUGAGGGAAAGUUGAAAAGAACUCUGAAUAGAGAGUUAAAUAGUACGUGAAACUGCUUAGAGGUUAAGCCCGAUGAACCUGAAUAUCAGUUAUGGAAAAUUCAUCAUUAUGAUUUUAAUAUAUUAUAAUAAUGAUGUGCAUUUUUUCUAUAAAUGACAUUGUAAUCUAUUAACAUAUAAUAUUUAUCAAAAGAUCAGCGCAAGUUUAUUCAAAUUAUUUUGCUUGCAAUUUAAUAUAGAAUAAAUGCUUUUGAUUUGAUAAAGUGUUGAUAGUUUUAAUAUAGUGCUUAAAUAAUAUUUUAUAAUGGCAUAUAAAUCAUUGAUUUUUAUGUUUAUUAUAUGCGCUUAUAUGAUUAACAAUGCGAAAGAUUCAGGAUACCUUCGGGACCCGUCUUGAAACACGGACCAAGGAGUCUAACAUAUAUGCAAGUUAUUGGGUAAAAACCUAAUAGCAAAAUUAACAUAACAUAAUGGGAUUAGUUUUUAGUCUAUUAAUUCAAUCCCGGGGCGUUCUAUACAGUUAUGUAUAAUAAUAUUUAUAUUAUUUAUACCUCUAACUAGAGCGUACCUUGAGCAUAUAUGCUGUGACCCGAAAGAUGGUGAACUAUACUUGAUCAGGUUGAAGUCAGGGGAAACCCUGAUGGAAGACCGAAACAGUUCUGACGUGCAAAUCGAUUGUCAGAAUUGAGUAUAGGGGCGAAAGACCAAUCGAACCAUCUAGUAGCUGGUUCCCUCCGAAGUUUCCCUCAGGAUAGCUGGUGCAUUUAAAAAUUAUGUAAAAUAAUCUUAUCUGGUAAAGCGAAUGAUUAGAGGCCUUAGGGUCGAAACGACCUUAACCUAUUCUCAAACUUUAAAUGGGUAAGAACGUCACCUUUCUUGGUAUGAAGGUUGUCGUUGUGAUAUAAUGUGCCCAGUGGGCCACUUUUGGUAAGCAGAACUGGCGCUGUGGGAUGAACCAAACGUAAUGUUACGGUGCCCAAAUUAACAACUCAUGCAGAUACCAUGAAAGGCGUU